CCUACGGGAGGCUGCAGUCGAGAAUCAUUCACAAUGGGGGAAACCCUGAUGGUGCGACGCCGCGUGGGGGAAUGAAGGUCUUCGGAUUGUAAACCCCUGUCAUGUGGGAGCAAAUUAAAAAGAUAGUACCACAAGAGGAAGAGACGGCUAACUCGGUGCCAGCAGCCGCGGUAAUACAGAGGUCUCAAGCGUUGUUCGGAAUCAUUGGGCGUAAAGCGUGCGUAGGCUGUUUCGUAAGUCGGGGGUGAAAGGCGCGGGCUCAACCCGCGGACGGCACAUGAUACUGGGGGACUAGAGUAAUGGAGGGGGAGCAGGAAUGCUCGGUGUAGCAGUGAAAUGCGUAGAUAUC
rnacentral:rRNA from 1 species